rnacentral:rRNA from 1 species
AUUGAACGCUGGCGGCAGGCCUAACACAUGCAAGUCGAACGGUAACAGGAAGCAGCUUGCUGCUUUGCUGACGAGUGGCGGACGGGUGAGUAAUGUCUGGGAAACUGCCCGAUGGAGGGGGAUAACUACUGGAAACGGUAGCUAAUACCGCAUAACGUCGCAAGACCAAAGAGGGGGACCUUAGGGCCUCUUGCCAUCAGAUGUGCCCAGAUGGGAUUAGCUAGUAGGUGGGGUAACGGCUCACCUAGGCGACGAUCCCUAGCUGGUCUGAGAGGAUGACCAGCCACACUGGAACUGAGACACGGUCCAGACUCCUACGGGAGGCAGCAGUGGGGAAUAUUGCACAAUGGGCGCAAGCCUGAUGCAGCCAUGCCGCGUGUAUGAAGAAGGCCUUCGGGUUGUAAAGUACUUUCAGCGGGGAGGAAGGGAGUAAAGUUAAUACCUUUGCUCAUUGACGUUACCCGCAGAAGAAGCACCGGCUAACUCCGUG